AUGAGCCACGCCUGCGCUGCGGUUCCGGGCGCGCCGUCCGCACCCACCUGACGACCACCCGCUGCGGGUUGUGGGCC
rnacentral:sRNA from 3 species